rnacentral:tRNA from 1 species
GCGGGUGUAGUACAGUGGUAGUACGCUAGCUUCCCAAGCUAGGAACGGCGGUUCGAUUCCGCUCACCCGCUCCA